rnacentral:lncRNA from 1 species
ACUUUCUGCAGGUGUGUUAUAUUUCAUAAAAGGGCUCCACCUGUGUUACUUUCCUGAGUUUCAGGCUCACUUACUUAAAAAUACCUGACGGACACCUCCACCGAUCUGUUUCAAUGGCGCCUCAAACCCCACCCACCUCGAGAGGAAUUCAUUUCACCUGAAGGAGCUCCUGUGCCCACCGAGCUCCCAGCCAGAGGCGGGACGCGUCUUCUCUUCUGGGAACAUUCAGGAGACUUCAUUGCCACCUGGAAAGGGACAGAGCAUUCAGCGUGAAGAGUCUGCCACAAGCACAGGUGCAGAGGUGGCCCGUCAGGGGUUCCAGCAGAGCGCGAACUGCCCGGGACUUAUAAGGCGGGCUUGGCGUCGGGAGAUUGAUUUUUUAAAACAAAUCUGCUGGGUCUGCAGUUCUGCUGUUCGGCAUUGAAUGUGACGGCGCUUGAUGGGGGCAUUAUUUCCCAUUGAUCACUUUUCAAUAAGUGACAGAAAGACCACAUUCCUAAGCUGGGUGCAGAAUCAUGCAUAUUUAAAUCCAAGCUAUUUAGCAUGCAAGAAAAUAAUUAAGUCAUGAUCACCAUCUUAUGUUUGGUGAUUUGAUCAUUGAUUUUUACAGCUCUUAUCUGAAUUCUGUAGUAACUCACUAAAAGGGCUUGGAGGAGAUGGUUAUUUUAAUACUGCAGCAAACAGUCUCAUAUUCACGGGUUCAAAGAACAAGGGAUCUAGAGAAGAACCAGCUAUUACGCGGUUCAGUCUCGUAAAUACCUGGCGACGACACCGUUCCAUUGGGCGAAGGGACGCUUUCAAAGUGGCAAAGCUAAUUAGGGUAAGGGCUGGCACCCACGACUCCUGACUCCCCGUUUAAGGUUCUGUCUUACUCUCUUUAAGACUUAAAAUAACUACAUAAAUGCUUCAGGGUCUUAGCUCGUGUACGGCGAAAAGGGCAGCAUUCGGUGUUCUUUGAUUUAUCUGGUACAAAUAGAUGGGUUUUUCAUACAAAUAAACAAUGACAAAAAAGACAGUAAAGGUUUUAUAGUGGAGUUUUAAAAAUGUGCUUUCAUCAGUUGUGACACACGUACCACACCAAGACAAGGUGCAAAUGAGAGGCUGGCCGAGGGGAGUCCUGUACGGGACGCCCCACGAUCUGUCAACCCCAGCUUCUCCAGCGAAGGACGGGGGCUUCACCUCGUGACCACUUCGCGCCAGGUCACCGGUCAUUGGUCCUUCACCCUCUGUAUCUCCAGUCCUCCCCGAAGGAGGGAGGUGGGGAUCACGUCAUGGAUGAGCAAUCCCAGAGAAUUUCUCAGAGAAAUGGAGCACCUCGUCUGGGAUCCAGCCCACAUAGCGUGAGCUCGCUGAUCUGGUAGGAAUCAGAACAACCCUGUGCUACGGGGCCCUCCAAAUCAGAGACCACCCCAGAGCGAGGGCCGGGCGGCCUCGUGCCUCCUCGGUCUGGGUGACCCUGCGACUGCACAUCGGCUUCCUGCUACCCGCUAGAGGACUGGAGCCUACGGAAGGAAACACCGGGGGAGCUGUCGUGGCCAUUCACUUGCUGCUUAAUCCAACAACAUUUAUGAAUUGUCUAAAGCUACAGUGUUAAAGAUUCUGAGCUUUGGGAAAUGGGAGGCAGAAAGGGAGAGAGACGCAGGCUUCCGACAAGGCACGCCGUUGCUCGCUCUGGGACCCGGGGCCGCUGGCCGGAGAGGCGACCUCAGCUCCUCUUCCGUGCCUUGAAAUAACAGCUGAGGCGUGGCGCUGGUGUGCAGCCUGCUGCUUCUCGCUCAGGGGCGCUCUCUAAACUCAGGGAAUUUGUAGGUUUAUAGAAAAAUCACGCAUUUGGUACAGGUUUUCCCUACACCACCCUGUCGUUACCACCUGGCAUUAGUGUGCUACAUUGGUUACAACUCACCAAAGAACAUUUUUAUAAUAGUACGAUUAACUACAGUCCAUCUUUACAAUGAUGUUUGUGUUAUAUGGGCCUAUGAUGUUUUGUUUCUUUUAAUUUUUAUUCUGAUAAUAUAUAUACAACCCAAACUUUCCACCCGGGG